AGUCCUACCCGAAGAUCGGUCAGUAUGAGCUCUGAGCUCUUUCCGUAGGGGAAAGGCUGACUGGGUGACCAGCAGACGACCGUGACGAAUAACACACAUUAAACAAGCAGGGACGUGAGGAAUGAAAGAGUCGCAUUGCCUCACUCACCGCCAUCUCAGAAACGCGUGAAAGUGUCACAAAACCUUAAUGUGGAUUCAGCACUGAGCACACGCUGACGCUAGGUAAGGUCAGCACUGCCUCCCUCCCCUCUCCUCUUCUCCCCUCGCCUCCUGACGCAGUCUACUUGAGGAGAGAGAGACAUGAUGCGAUUCAUUCACUCAUCGUCCUUUCUCUCAUCCACAUUCAACCUUCUGUUCGCUAAUUUCCUCCUAAUUAACACUACCAUUAGUCAUUCAAUCAAGUACUUUUCUUCGUCCCGUGUCCUUUGUGUCAGUGUCGAAGCGUUGAAUCACUGACGGCUUCAUAUCUUCAAAAAACACUCCAAUAAUACGAAUUCUAAAUUCCAAGGAUACUUCCUCUGCAGCACAUCACUACUGGCUGCCUUCAACUCCUCCUUUGCUUCGUAAUACAAUGGUGGGUGUGAGGCGAGGACUGCUGCCGCUGCUGACGUUACCGCUGCUGCUGGUGGUGGCGCAAGUCGCUGAGGCACCCCUUCCCCCCGUCAUGGUCAGACGAACCUCAUGUUUCACUCACCGCAGCUGCAACUUAACCCUUAGCAUGGAAGAAACAACUUUAGCCUCCACGCUUCAGACUAUAUAAACCCUACACCACUGAGAACUUGCUAUGCUUUCAGGAACACUGUGCUGGGGUGCUGUGCUGAAACUUGUGCUAAUAUUGUGCUUGUGUUGUGUUACAGAUCAUUAUCCAUUUUCUUGGUCACAUUAUGGGUCAUUUACUUUGUACUUCUAUACUUGUGAUGCUGUGACUGAGGACGUGCUGUGCUGUGUUGGGUCUGUGUGUUGCUGUGUGACUGCACUGGAGCGCUUGCCUCCUGGAGAAGCUGGUGGAGAUGGAGGGACGCAAACAGCUACGCUACAUCACGUGUAAUCGUGUGCCAGCGCUGGGAGUCUAUCACCUGAUCCCCCUUAAGAGACUCUGCGACGAUGACCAGAGAAAGAUGACGAUGAUAGAAGACAACGCGCAAGAGGUGUAUGAUAAGUGCUGCCGUCUCGCCCGCCCUGUUUACUGCACAGAAGAGGAGUGGCGUAUAGUGACGAGGAUUCGCUACAGGAUAGUCUUCUGCACGCAUCACCCGGAACUCUGCAGAGCAGCGAUACCUCCGUCCCUGUAGCGUAGAGACCUCAAGCACCUUACUUCAGCUCCUAACCGCUUACGUCUCUUGCAUCUGUCACCGCUACUGCAGUUACUCCAGACUCAGCCUCAGAGAGAGAGAGAGAGAGAGAGAGAGAGUGUGUGUGUGUGUGUGUGUGUGUGUGUGUGUGUGUGUUUGCUCUCUCCCCACGACUAUAUUCUAAAGGUCACAGUGAGGAUUAGCAGGGUUCUCAGAGAUGUUUUUCCUAUUAAUAAUGUAGAAAUCUUGUUCAUCUGCCU